UACGUAGGGCGCAAGCGUUGUCCGGAAUUAUUGGGCGUAAAGAGCUCGUAGGCGGCCAGUUGCGUCUGCUGUGAAAUCCCGGGGCUCAACCCCGGGCGUGCAGUGGAUACGGGCUGGCUAGAGGCAGGCAGGGGAGAACGGAAUUCCCGGUGUAGCGGUGAAAUGCGCAGAUAUCGGGAGGAACACCAGUGGCGAAGGCGGCCCGCUGGGCAGUGGCUGACGCUGAGGCGCGACAGCGUGGGGAGCAAACAGG
rnacentral:rRNA from 1 species